rnacentral:rRNA from 1 species
GACGAACGCUGGCGGCGUGCUUAACACAUGCAAGUCGAACGGAAAGGCCCUGCUUUUGUGGGGUGCUCGAGUGGCGAACGGGUGAGUAACACGUGAGUAACCUGCCCUUGACUUUGGGAUAACUUCAGGAAACUGGGGCUAAUACCGGAUAGGAGCUCCUGCUGCAGGGUGGGGGUUGGAAAGUUUCGGCGGUUGGGGAUGGACGCGCGGCUUCUCAGCUUGUUGGUGGGGGAGUGGCUUACCAAGGGUUUGGCGGGUAGCCGGCCUGAGAGGGUGCCCGGCCACAUUGGGACUGAGAUACGGCCCAGACUCCCACGGGACGCCGCUGUGGGGAAUUUUGCACAAUGGGCGGAACCCUUAUGCAGCAACGCCGCGUGCGGUAUGACCCCCUUCGGGUUGUACACCGCUUUCGCCUGUGACGGAGCGUGAGUGACGGUAAUUGGUAAAGAAGCACCGGCUAACUACGUG